AUAAUUAUUCUGCAGUAAAUGUGUUUACACCAAUGGCAGGAACAUGGAACGACACGGUGACCAGCAGACAUCCAAAUUUAGAACUGCGCCUCCAGCAAAUAAAGUGACACAGGAAAAGCUCUGGCAGAUGUCCCAGAAGUCAGAGGAGUCCAAGAAGUCAGGCAAAGGAGUGACUGUCACAGACAGCAUCCCAGCAUCCAUUAGAGUGACUACUGACAGACAUGAUGGCAGUAUGGUUAACCCUGACAUUCUGAGGCAGCAGCUGUUGGCUGGUGGCCAGCAAAGGCCAUUGUCUGUUUCACCAGACAGACAGCCAGUGACAGUGCAUGAUCGCAAAGGGUCCAACUUGGCACUUCCCAUGCGGAUUAAAGAGCAUUUGAUGGCUGCAGCAAGCAGAGACAAAGUCCCUAGUCCCUCAAAAGAUCAGGCGGUGUCACACACAACUAAAAGCUCCUCACUAAGCCGUGACAUUUCUCCUUCACGCAUCACAGCACAGGUGGUAUCGGCCAUGUCUGAAAGUGCACAGCAGACUUUGUUGUUCUCCGCCCUAACAGGUCAGAUGUCUGCACCUCCAUUGAUUGGCACUGGUGGCAGACAGGAUACACAGCACGAUGCACGACUAUUGGGAAGCAGACUCUUAGAAGUUUCAGGGCACCAGAGUGCCUCUCAAGGAGCUGACUUCAGACGAUCACCCCUACAGUCAGAAAAUCGCCCACAGACUGAAAGGAAAGAUGCAGUGCUGCAAAUGGGAAAGCCAGGAUAUCCAUUUGAACAUUUGGCAAGAGCAAUUGCAUCAAAAGAACUGUCUACAGCGAUAAACAGUAGAGACCGAAGUCUAGGGAACAAGGAUGUUGCUCAGUCUAAUAAUGUGGUUUUGCCAGGUUCUAAAAGGAGGAGUCCAGGCCCUUCACACCACUUACCUGGAUACUCAACUUCUAGUGGCAACCAACAGCAGAUGGAAACACAGGUGCGGACGCCUUCCCCAAAACCUGUUGCUAAAACCCAUUCACCACAGCAGCAAGUAAAUCAUCCAACCCAGAGGAGGUCUCCAGUCAGUCCAGCAUCCAGAGUUUCACCCUCCAAAAGUCUUCAGGAGAAAGUACCAAAUUUAUCAGUUGGUCUUGCAGAAGGACACACUGUGCAGAUCCCAAUGCCACCUUUUGACCUGCUGUCCCAGCAUCUCCUAGCAGGGGCCAUGGUGACAACUAGCAUAUCAAACAGCGUCAACUCGCAGCCUGCUCGUUCCCCAUUGCCAACGCUGACCUCUCGUCUGGUGCAGUUGCCUCCAGUGUCAGUCACACUGACUGGGCAUUCUAGCUCACAGCUGAGCACAAAUCGUCCUGUUAAGCCAUCUACGAUUCCUGUGGCGUCUCCUCAAACCCUCUCGCGCAAGGUACCUGCAAUUUCAGGAUUGGGUCACCAUGCUAUUUCUGUGGGAACUGAGACAGAAGCAAAGCAGUUCAGUAGCCAUGGAGCACAGACCAAGCCUGUGGCUGUCAGUGUUGAGAAUGUUUCAGGGUCUGUACUGCCCCAGGUCUUUCAGUUUAAGUCUGUGGUAAGUAAAGGGGCUAAUAGUGCAUCAAGUGAUAAUGUGAAAGAAGUUGACAGCAGAUCUGAAAAUGCCGGCAUGUCUCAGAUUGCUGUACAAAAUUCCUUGGCUCAGGGGACCUCAGACAGUCUAUUACGUGUCAGCCCCAUCAGUAGUGGUUCAAUGCUAGUGAUGAAUGCUUCUGACCUGGGAAAUUCUGGGAUGCCAGGCCAGCUUGUGGAUUUACCGGGCAGUAUCUCCAUUGUGUCUAGUUCUGUGUCUGACUUUGGCAAAGGGAACCAACUUUCAAAUGCAGAGCACAAAAGGUACAGUCCUUCACCUACUCCUGCCCACGGUAACACCCCAAUUCCAGUGCCGUCAAGUCAUAUGCAUGCACACACACAUCUGCAUUUUCCCCAUCCUAAUCCCAAAGCUCCUAUCACCACACCCCAGGUUGGUGGUGAAGGCCUGGCAGCUGCUGCCACAGUGGCACCAUUGCUGCAGCCAGUGGUGAGCCUUUGUCGGUUGUCGACCAGCACCAUGCAGCCUCUUACGGUCCGAGUGAAGCCAGAGACAAAGACGGUGACUUCCGUGACAUCGGUGUCUCACUCUAGUCAUUACCAGCCUCACUACCACCAUCAGCAGCCAGUUCAGACUGUCACAAGUCAGACUUCAGAGACAGGCCCAGUGGUUAAAGACUUCAUACCUGUCACAGGGUCUCCUGAGCCACCAGUGUACCAUAAACCACCUCUACCCCAUCAUAUCAACCCAUUUACAUUUACAACGAGAGCUGAAAAGAUCAGUUCGCUGAAUGGAGACAGCACUGAGUACUCGUUUAGUUACACCAAAGACCUAGGCAGUGACAGUUCUGUCGUGCAUAAACUCAAAAAUCCACAUAGUUUGGACAAGUCUGUGUCGGAAGUUUCUGGGCUAAGGCAGCAGAAUGGGAGAGAUGACAUUCCACGACUGAUACAAGGAUCCCUGUUGUCAGCGACUUGUCAGUCUAUAGAGAGUAAGGGCAAAUGUGUGAAUGGGCGGACGACAUUAAACCACAGUGACACAUCCCAGAGUAACCAGAAUAUGCCAAAUCCCUUCAACAUGAGACUUCAGAAUUUAUCCAAUUUUCCUUUGGCAACCAAUAUUUACAGAUCAGCUUACAGGUCCCAUUCUGUGGCAGUCCAGAGGGCAAAAGCUGGGUCUAUCACCAGCGCAGCCAAAUCACUGGAUCUUCUUCGACAAAACAUCCAAAAGAGUAUUAACAAAGAACUAGAUCAGGUUGUCCAGAGAUACGUUGAGAAAUUUUUCCAUCCAGCUGCAGCUAACAUUCGUUUGAACAAUGGUUCAAAUGCAGUCAGUGAAGAGCACAUUCAUGCAGUGUGCAAACAGAUAUUUGAAGAAGCCAAAAAGAUGUACACCUCAGAGGCCAGGCGGAGCGCAACACCUAUUGUAGACGUUCCAGAUCAUGUCUCUGAGCCAAUUAGUAUCACCGACAAAAGAAUUUCACCUCUCUUGAAAAAACACAAAGUUUCUGACAGUGAAUCUGAGAAGGGAAGUGACAGUGGUAUACCGAAAAAGAUACCCAAGAGAAAAGGUCGUCCACCCCUCCACGCAUCAGGGAGAAGUACACCACUCAAACUCAUCAGAUCGGACCAGGUAAAACGAGAAGGGCCAAAGUGGGAUCCUGAGCGUAUCAAGUCAGAUACACUGUUUGUGAUGGGAGCCAGAGCGAACAAGGCACUAGGUCUUGGAAAUACAAGGGGCCGACUUUAUAUUCGACAUCCUGACAUUUUUAAGUACUCUGGAGACCAAGAUGACAAGGUGUGGUUACAUGAACAAAAGCUGAUGCCAGCCACAGGAGGCAAGGCUUACAUGCUUCUGGUGGAAGACAUCAUAGACCUUAGUAAAACAGAGGAAUACCGGGAAAGCCCAACAUUGAUGAUGCAUGAGUGUCGAGGAUUCUGCAUUCCAGAGUGGAUGUUAGUCAAGGUGAAGGAGCAGAUGCAGGCACUUCGUUCAGACCGUGGCAAGCGCAGCCGCUCGCAUUCACCGGGCCCCCUCUCAGAGCGACCAGAUCCUCCAAGAAGUCUGCCAUUUUCAACACUGUAUGACACUGCUUCAAAUAAUGAUGGAGACAGUAACAAAAAUAGUCUACAGCCAUCUCCAACAGAUACAGAAGAAAUGGAGUUUCUGUCAGCAGCUGACAAUGAUGAUACACAGCCAUCAGAUAUUUCUCCGUUUAAUGUUGCCAGUGGUCUCGAUGAUGCAGCAUCUCCAUCAUCUUGUCAUCUAGACCCAGUUGAGGAAGAGCCCCAAGUUUCUAGCACAUUUACUUAGGUUUCUGGUGAGAUUGAAGUGGCGUUAAAAGAAAGUAUGCGUGAUAUCUGCCAGCCUAUCAGUUUCUGGGUCAGAACAAGAUUUCUUUAAAAAAAAAAAAGCAACUGAAAUCAGCAGGUGUUUUAAUCGAACUUGGAGAUUGAUUGCAGCAUAGAGGAACAAAUAUGGUGCACACCUUGUCUUGGAGUCCAGCUGACACAGCUGCAUGAAGCCAAGUGAACUGAAUGUUAAUAUUAAAACUGUCAAAAAUAACCCGGUGCAGAGCAGCUACUAAAGACAAACACAAGUAUUGAGAUAAGUGGGUUAAAAGAAAAAUAUAUCUAUUGCAUUGCUUCAUGAAAUGUAAGAAGCAAUGCAGUUAAUUCUCUUAUAUGUGUUUUUUUUAAGUUGUUGUAAUGAAGAUAUAAUUCCAACAGACAUGAUUAAUUACGAGGCAUACCAUGCAGCACACAGGCCAGUAUUCAGCAGAGGUCAUGGUUGUAUCUUUGAUCUCAAACAUUUGCUCAUUUGCUUUAAUGGAGUUGACAUUGACCAGAACUCCAAAAAGCUUACUGAAUGCUUUAUGAAUCAAGAUGGUGGAAGAAGUGAACUUCACCAUGCCUGUGGAAACAGUUCAUCAGUACAUCAAUGGGAGGCACAUCAUUGACUAGGUAGGAACAUGCAUAAAAAUGUCUCAAAAGUCUGUGUCUAUAUCAGCCUUGCCUUUCCUAUUUUUGCAUUUGUUUCAUGAUUACAAAAUGGUUAAUAGAAUAAAUCCACACAACAGUUCCUUUCAAAUAAUAAAGCAGCAGUCUUGUAACAAAACAUUUUACAUUUAUAGCCAUUUUAUUUUCCCAAUACAAUAUCUCCUUUGCUGCAAGCCACAAUAUUUUAAAUCGUAUUUAGUAUUGUUGUGCUAGCUGUUACUAUUGUGAUAUUUUAACUUGAUAUGUAACAUAUAUAAGAAAAAUUGGCAUCUGUUUUCUGGCCUAAGAUUAAAGAAAUCAUCAUUGUCAUCAGUCUAAGCAGGCAACCAGUCUAGAAGGUUGUGAAGGGCAGAAGGAAUAUGUGUCCAGUUAUAUUUCUCUUGCUGCGGCCCUAUGCUCCUCGAGGAGUAACAAGGAAUAAACUAAAACUAUAUUUCUCUGUAAUUUUGUAGAUUUCUGAUUUGAAGGUUUAGAAUUUUUAUAGUUGAUUUUCUCAGAUUUUUUUUUCAGCAUCCAUCGUUGAACUUGAGUUGUAGUUAUGUUUUAUUCAGAUAUUUUUAAUGUUUUUAUCACUGUUGUAUUCUGAAGUACUUUUGUGUCUUACACUUCAACAUCUUUUUUGCGUUUCUGCACAGUUUUGGGUCUACCUUUUGAUGUGCAUCAGCUCUUUCCUUGAUCAUCUUGGGAUGGCAGCAAAUGUAAAUGAAUCUAUCACUGUAUGCCUCAGUCAACUUCAGAAAGCCUUCAGUCAGCUUAAAAUGAUGUCUUUAAGACCAGCUUGCCCUACAAAAUCCAUCUUGCAAAGUGCAUUCGUAGGUAGAAAAAGAAUAGACAGGCGGAGAGAGACUGUAGGACAUCAUUAAGGAAUGGACAAGCUUGUCAAUUUUGAACUCCCCAAAGGGCAAAAUAAGAUUAAGUUAUUGGCAAAAACUGCCGGAAAUUCAACAAGCAAUCUGGUCGUGUUUGACUGCUGGAAGCACAGGCAUUUACUUUGGUAUGAAUUGUUUGUUAGAACAAUUUUAAUGUCAACAAGCAUUAUCUUUACUUGAAAGAUAGUUAUCGCUUGUCAAUUUAAGUCAUUGAUAUGGCAUUAAUAUUUAUUAAUUAUAAGGAAUUUUUUUUUUUGUUUUCGGUGCAAGUUGCUUAGAGUUUCUAUGUUCAUUAUUACCAUUGCCUCAGCUGCUAAAUCUUUUUGUAUGGAUCAUUAGAAACAGCGACGCUGAGAGGAAAUUACCUUGGUCAGACACUAAAGUCGUAUUUUGAAAGGAAUCCAUUAUAUCUGUUGUGGACAUCUUGUGUCCAGCAGUUUAUAUUUAAAGGUAGUCUUGUAAUAUUAGCAGAAAGUUGUUACCUGCAUUGCUAUGUUGUCUAGGGAAAAUACUGAAAAAAGUGAACAGUUUUCUUACGAGUUGUUGAUAGGGAAACAAGAUUAAGAUCAAGGAAUGAUUAGAAAACUUUUUAUUUUUCAUUGGCUUUCAGUAGUGCCAGCUUUAUCUGAUCAUUCUGAUUAAACUGUUUGUAUUUGCUUGCAUCCAUGAAAUUGUUUCAGCAUAAAAUUCCAAGUUUCAUGCCAUUUUGCGAUAUCUGUAUAUCUGAAUGGCUAUUCUUAUUUUUUUCUAGAGAUUCGCUAAAAAUUUCAUGAAGAGAUCUCAGAUUUUUUAAAAGUAUUUUAUAGUAUUUAUGAAAUCUUGAGAAAUUGUCAAUAGGCGUAAUAACCAGCAGUUUAAAGUUAGAGAGAUAGUGUGUGUGUGUGUGUGCAAAGACGUGUUUGUGCAAUAGGCGUAAUAACUAGCAGUUUAAAGUUAGAGAGAGAGAGUGUGUGUGUGUGCAAAGACAUGUUUGUGCUUAUACUGAUUGAUUUUUAUUUGUGGAAAAAGCUCCACAAAAAACUUUUUAUUCCAAUAUUUGGUUGGUUAACUGUAUUAGUACUCUGUAAAUGAAACCCAGCUAAGUGGCAAGCUACCUUCCAUUGUUUUAUCAUUGCUCCAUACAACACUGUUGUCAUGAAAGGGGGCAAUGAAUGUUUGUACCAUGAAGGAAGAGCAGUCCAUCCAUCUAUUCAUUUUAGCCAGUCACAGAUAAAAUCAUUAUUAGGCUGAGGAAUAGAGUACAAUUGAGGACAGCUUGUUAAUAUGUUGAAAAUUAAACUAGACCUCCUGCAUGUUGACCAGGAGGACACCCACAUUUUACACUCUGUGAACCUGCAGCAUGAGCAGGAAACAAGUAGUAACAAAUCUGCUGGAUUAAGGUCAGCAGUGAAAAAUAUGGGCUUGUAGAAAAGGAUAUAAAAUUGCUUCGGUCUUAUAUACUAAGCCUGUUACUUGGCCACAGUGUGCAUCAUUCUGGUUUGACUAAUAUGUAUUACAUGUAGCUUUAUUGAUGUCAUGAUUCAGUGUUGUUUUGGGGAGGGAGGUUUUGUCUGGCUAUGCAUAAAACCCAUGACAGCCUACCUCGGUACACACCUUGCUUACUUUUGAGCUCGAGCUAUUUAUUAUAUCUAUGGAUAUGCUAAACUUUAAGGUAACUUCAUUGAAAUGCCUUUGUUUCCUUUAUGUUGUUGUCUUGACUGCCAUGGUUUUUCUACCUUAAGUUUUGAUUUGUAGAAGGCAUUGCUGUUAAACAGGGUUAACCGUAAAUGAUUCAUUUGGAAUAUUUUGCUGAACAGUUAAUUAUAUUUUUCUGCCUUUUUAAUUUUUUCAUGAGCGUUCAAGUGAUUUUUUUUUUACAUUAAGAUGCAACUUAAUAGCUUUUUCAUUUUAAAAUCUUAGACAAAUAUUUACCACAAAUUUUUCUUAUUAUCAUGGCAAUGCACUCCUAUGCCCCUAAUUAAUUGGUAAGAAAGAGAAAGAAAACCAAUACAGUAAUGUACAACAGAUACUUUCUUAAAAUAUGACAGUGCAGGAUAUAAAUGCAUAAUUUACUAUACUCUUGUUGAGUUGUCUCUCAUUACGGCUGUUCAGUGUUUCAAACUUAGAGCAGAUACAUGUUUUUAUAAACUGUUUGCACUUGCAAAAGAGAAGUUCUUAAAUGGUUGUAAAAACUGCAUGCCUUCUUGUAUAUUGCUGCUUGCAAGACUUGGGCAAGUGUGAGGUUUGAAGCACAUUAUUGAAGUAAAGGAAACAUAAUUUAUGUCAUAUUUAAAAAAAUAAUUAUUUCAUUUUAUUAAUAUAUAACAAGGAGAGUCGGCGGGGGGUUGACAAGAUUUUAGAUCAAUAGUGAAUAGUGAAACAUUAUUUUGGAUGAAAAUUUAAAAAAAAAAAUUUAUGGGCAUGAAUGUAAUAGUCUUUUGCUAGAAUUUCAAUAAUAAUCAUCAUGAUGAUGAUAGCCACUACAUUAGUUUCAUUUCAUAGAGACUAGUUCACAAUCCAAGUCAAAUACAGAGACAUAGCAAAGACUUGUAUUAUUACAUUAUAUGCUGAUAUGCUCUUCUUUAAAUUGGAAGCAUCCAUUUCAGCUUAGUGAUUGAUUACACUGUUGUCUGCUCUGUCAUGUUGCAUGUACAAUGAUUCUUUUAAACUUGAAGGGGGUUAAGAUUUUUUUUUUUUUUAAGUAUGCAUGAAAGCAUUUUAAUUCUGUAGUAUGAUCUACUUCUAAAAUAUGUUUGCACUUGGCUGAAGCAUCAGUUUUACUUAGACAUUAUAGUACAGCAUUGUCAUAUUUUUUUUAAACAUUUGAAAUCUGUGCUGAUGGUAUGUUGGUGAAAUUAUUUUGCUGAAGUUCUUUCUGUGGGAUAAAGCUUAACAUUACUGUAACUUCUGAACUGCUCUAUACCCAUGCUUGAUUCAGUCCUUCUUGUUGUAAACCUUAUAUAUUUUAAGUAUAAAUAGAAAAUUGUAAAAACUUUAAAAAUAUUUAAAACAAUUUCUACUCUGUUCUUUUGUCAGUACUAAAUUUAAUUACAUCUCCUUAAAUUUAACAAAAAUGGCAAACACUUGUCACAGACUUUUCGUUAAAUAUAAUGUUUCUCAUAGCACAUGAUAAUGUGUUGGCAUUGUGUUCAUAAAAUUCCACUCUGUUUAUGUGAUAAGCCUCUUAUUCAACCAGAGACAAGUCACAGUCUUAGUGUUCAUGGAUAAUGAUACAUGUAAAUGUAGAUGUACAAGUUUUUUUAAAAUCUGUGUUGCUUCGUUUCAUUUUCUUUAAAAUUUACUAUAGUUUAAUCAAAUUUACCAAAAAAAAUGUCAACAUAUUUUGACCUCAUGCUUCUGUACAAGUAGCCUUGUUCCCAGGUUUAACAAUUCAAAAGUGUAUGCUGCAUUGCUGUUUAAAAGCAUAAGUUUUUCUUAAUGUUGAAAUGAAAGCUUUUUUCCCACGAAUUAACAAGUGGAGACUGUGGAGAAAAUAACAAUAGUCUUGUCAUAUAUUUUGUAAAACAAGGCUUUGGUCAAGUUUAUGCAUGCGUUGUCAGGAGUACAGGCAAAUGAAUGGAUGGACAGAAGUUAUUGUGCAGACAUGUAUGAAUGCAAACAUGCAUAGAUGGGCACAGAUGUGUGUAUCUGUGCAAUCAAAAUAGUUUGUUGUGGAUGGGAUAGGUUUUGCAGAAAUUGGUCUAAGUUUUAACUCUAUUCAGUUGAUUAUUUAUAUUUAAAAAACAUAAUUUACUCAGUGGUUUAGCAAGACUUUAUGAACUGUAAAGUGUAAACUACACUUGACUGUGUAGUAAAUGGCAACUUGUGACCACCAUUAUGUUUUAUGGAAAAUUUGUUUGUUGACACAUACCUCCAUCUUCCAUGCUACAUUGCUUUAAGCUAUGAGCAAAAUGACAGAGUGUUGCAAAAAACACCAUGGGACAGUUGUUCAAGAUUAAAGUUUGUUUUGUUGGCAUGAUACAGUUGAAUCAUUUUGAGAGUUACUGUUAAACUGUGAAUAAAAUUUUAAGUCAUUAAAAGAAUCAUUAAAAUUGUAAAAAAAAAAUGCAUCCUCUCAAAUAUGUUAUACCCCUUUCCCUCCUUCCAGAAUUUCUUUGCUGUUGAUGUUUCAAUAUUCUAGGGAAUAAAUUUUUCAACUGUGAA